CAAAUUUUGUAGGGAUAUAUAUAAUCUCUGCGCUUCAACGAAAAUAAUAUCAAAAUUAAGAACAAUUUUUUCUUUGAAAUUUCUUUUUCUAUUUUGUUUUCAUGUGGACGCUCAUCGUGCUUCACUCGAUCGACAAAUGCUAAUGGAGAUUUUGUAAGGGAGAGCCGCAAAAAGAAUCUGCGAAGCUUCUUCUGGAUCUGAUCUUAUACCAAAGCUCCGAUAUCAAUCUCUCAUGUUUGUUCCAUAUUUUCUAAUUUAUUCAUAAUUUGAGUUUUUCCUUAAAAAAAAAUUAUGCUUGUAGAUAUUCCGGUCAUGAAGAAAUGAGAGAAAUCGACUCUCCGAGCUUCAAGCAAAGGAAAUUGUUGAUACAGAUUUCGGGUAUGGCGGUCGGAGGCAGUUGACUGAGAGGUAGAGCUUUAAUGGAAUAGUAAUGAAGUUUACUUGGUUUUGGUGGGAAGGAGUGGAGUUGCUUGGCCUCUUUUAUCGGGGUCCUAGUUUAUAUCAUGACAGAGCCACGUGUCACACUGUGAUUGAGUCUAGAUGAGCAGGUGGACUGUACUGAUAGGUCUAAGUAGAGUGACUUUACAGUGAGGUGUUUGAGAUUUGAGGGGAUUCAACGAUGGUUUAAAAAGAUGGUAAACUGGAGCACCUCGAAUUUUUGUUUGUUUAUUUUUUUAUGGCAUUGCUUAUUAGUUUUCUCUUUUGCAUAUUAUUACCAUUUUCUACUGAAUAUUGUUGGAGGAGCUUC